rnacentral:rRNA from 1 species
UCCGUAGGUGAACCUGCGGAGGGAUCAUUGCUGGAACGCGCCCCAGGCGCACCCAGAAACCCUUUGUGAACUUAUACCUUACUGUUGCCUCGGCGCAGGCCGGCCCCCUAGGGGGCCCCUCGGAGACGAGGAGCAGGCCCGCCGGCGGCCAACUUAACUCUUGUUUUUACACUGAAACUCUGAGAAUAAAACAUAAAUGAAUCAAAACUUUCAACAACGGAUCUCUUGGUUCUGGCAUCGAUGAAGAACGCAGCGAAAUGCGAUAAGUAAUGUGAAUUGCAGAAUUCAGUGAAUCAUCGAAUCUUUGAACGCACAUUGCGCCCUCUGGUAUUCCGGAGGGCAUGCCUGUUCGAGCGUCAUUUCAACCCUCAAGCCUGGCUUGGUGAUGGGGCACUGCUUUUACCCAAAAGCAGGCCCUGAAAUUCAGUGGCGAGCUCGCCAGGACCCCGAGCGCAGUAGUUAAACCCUCGCUUUGGAAGGCCCUGGCGGUGCCCUGCCGUUAAACCCCCAACUUUUGAAAAUUUGACCUCGGAUCAGGUAGGAAUACCCGCUGAACUUAAGCAUAUCAAUAAGCGGAGGA